GGCGGGGCCUCGCGCUACGGAGGCUGUAGACGCGGCGGAUCCGGCGGCAGCGGAGGCGGGAGAGCGGCGGGAGGCACCGGGGAGACAGGCCCGCAGUGCCGAGCGGCCGCCCGAGCCGCGGCUGGAGAAUCUUAGCCUUAAGAUAAGUCUCUCGAGAGGGGCGGAAGAUGGCGGCGUGAGUAGAGCAGCGGAAAUCUCCUCCCAAAACAACAUAUAUCUAUGAAAAUAUAACAAAGACAACCCUUCCUAGAAUAAAGACCAGAGGACACAGGACAAUAUCCAGACCACAUCCGCACCUGAGAGAACCCAGCGCCUCGCGAAGGGGGUUUUAAUAAGUGCCUCAAGAAACAGGCAGGGAACAGUCAGACCUGAUGGGGACGGCGGUGAACCCACACACAGGUCCCACAGAAAUGCGGCGACCACUGCUCACCUCAACACAAGCGCUGCCAUGCCAGCAUAGAGACCAGACCUCUAGAUUUCUUAGAUACCAUACAGAAGGCUUAUGAACCUUUGCAUAUGUUUUCAAGAAUGUAGAGUUGGAUCAGAUCACACCAUCUUCAGAAAACUUCGUGGUGACAUACUGCUUACCACAGUUACGGGCUCUAGAAGCUGUGCAGAAAGAAGUGUGGGCCUCUAUCCGAGAAGUCUAUCGGCCAGAGGACAUCUCAGUACCUCAUCAAUUCCAAGUGAGAGACUCUGUCUACGUGAGACGACACCGAACGGGAAAUCUUGAGCCCCGGUGGAAAGGACCCUUCAUCGUCCUUUUGACUACUCCCACAGCUGUAAAAGUAGAUGGCAUCUCCUCCUGGGUCCACGCUUCACAUCUGAAGAGAGUGCCUCAACCAGGCCCGGAUUGGCGAGUAAUUCGAACUGAUAACCCUCUUAAACUUCGCUUAUGUAAGAAUGAUUGUGUCACUGAUGAUUCUGAUGGCCCAGUUACUCCCCACUCUUUAGGACCCCAAACCCCACGAACCUAGAUUACUGACAUGGCAGGUCUGUUCCCAAACAGGGGAGACAGUAUAGUCCAUUUCUAAGGUUGCUCCUCUUAAAACCUGGUGGCCAUCCCUGCACCCUGAUGUUUGCGCCUUAGUCACUGGAAUAAGAGGCUGAGAUAUACCCGAGCUUAGCUGGAUGCAGGCAAACAGGGUCAGGCCCGCGACUUUGGCGUAUUACGUCGGAGGAAAACAAGCCCAGAGCCAGAGUGGCUUAUAGAGCUUUGGGUGCAGAAAUCCGGCCGCACGCCAGCAGAUAAAGACCACUACUUUCUAUGUCUGCCCCCGUGAUGGACGGACCUACCAACAAACCCAACAAUGUAGGGACUUGCAAUCUUUUUAUUGUAACUCUUAGAGUUGUGAUACUACGGGUAACGUUUAUUAGAAUCCUGUGUCUGACUGGGACCUCCUUAAAGUAGCCCAGAACCGCACAUUCCCCAACUGUGAAUAGACAAGACUAUGCAUCCCCUUAAAUAUCACGUUCAGUGAUAAGAGACGCCAGUAUGAUGGGUGGAUCACUGGACGACAGUGAAGACUUAGAUAUUAUAAAUCUAGAUAUGACAAGGGCCUCGUAUUUACUGUCAGACUCAAAGCUGAGACUCUUCCAGCUGCCCCGAUAGGACCUAAUUCUGUCCUAAGAAAUCAACCGCGUCUCCCAACCUCGAUCCUGAAGCAGACUCCGGUGCCUCCAGUAGACCCUACCACUAUUUCUGCUGCCCUCACCCCUGACCAAAUAGCCCCCUUUCCUGAUACUGGACAACGCCUCUUCAAUCUUCUUGAGGGGGCUUUCCAAGUUCUAAACACUACCAACCCUAAUACUACUAAGUCCUGUUGGUUGUGUUUCUCCUCUGGACCUCCUUACUAUGAAAGAUUGGGGCUGUUAGGCAAUUUUAACAGAACAACCAGCCACGAGAUCUGUAGCUGGGGAAGCCAUAAGAAGCUGACCCUGACCGAAGUGACUAGAAAAGAGAAAUGUUUAGGUUCAGUUCCCCCCACUCAUGAAGCUUUGUGUAAUGAAACCAUAUCCGUAAAUUCCUCAAGUAAAAAUGAGUAUCUAGUCCCUCCUCCCGAAGAGUAGUAGGCCUGUAAUACUGGAUUGACCCCAUGUGUCUCUACUUCCGCCUUCAAUUCUUCCCGCGACUUCUGUAUCAUGGUUCAAUUAGUACCUAGAUUGAUGUAUCAUGAUGAUUUCUCAUUCGUAGCUGAAUUUGAACCAAAACACAGGUAUAGAAGGGAGCCAAUCUCGCUGACCUUAGCUGUAUUAUUAAGAAUAAGAGUCGCAGCUAGAGUAAGAACAGGGACAGCCGCCAUUAUCCAAGAGAACCAACAUUAUGCGGGAUUGAAGACAGCAAUUGAUGAAGACCUAAAGACUAUAGAACAAUCCAUUACCAAACUUGAAGAAUCUCUAACCUCCCUGUCUGAAGUAGUCUUGCAGAACAGACGAGGAUUAGAUCUGUUGUUUUUAAAAGAAGAUUGUGUGCAGCCUUUAAAGAAGAAUGCUGCUUUUACGCAGACCAUUCUGGAAUAGUAAAAGAUUCAAUGUCAAAACUUAGAGAAAAGUUAGACCAAAGGAAGAGAGAACGGGAGGCCGGCCAAGGGCUAUUUGAGUCCUGGUUUACUAGAUCUCCGUGGCUUACAACCUUGAUAUCCACCUUGACUGGGCCUUUACUUAUUCUUAUACUACUCCUCACUUUAGGACCCUGUAUACUAAAUCGGCUGAUAACUUUUGUUAGAAAAAGAGUGAGUACCGUUCAAGUGCUAAUGUUGAGGCAACAAUAUCAUUCACUCGCACAACAAGAGGACACAAGCAUUCCAUGAUUGGAAUGCUCCUUAAAAAGAAGUGGGAAAUGUAGAAUCCUUCACUAAGAAUUAACCUUAUUGAAGAUAGAAAGUUAGCAUAAGUAUAGCCAUCUUAAAAGCUUAGACUCCAUUUUCUAACCUAGAAGGAAGAAAAUAGGAAAAUAUUAGAACCUGGAAAAACAAGUUAGUCAGCCAGCGUUGAUUGCAGUGACCUUUAGUUAGCCAACCUCAAUCAGUUAAUCAUACAUACCAAGCUUACCUUACUAAGAACCACCCUAACAUUCCGAGGGUGAUCUUAUCUCACCAGACCCCCAGGAUGUGGCAUCAGCCAAAAUGUAUGUGUUUUUUUGGAAAAACAAUGUGAUGUGCUUGUAGAAUAAUACUGCCCUUUUUGAAAAUGCUAUAAAAACCUCUGACUCUAAGUGCUCGGGGUCCUUGUUGAGACCCGCUGCGUUGGGCUGACACUUGGACCCCAGCUAGCUGGUCUCUGAAUAAAUUCCUCUUGCUUGUUGCAUCAAGA